rnacentral:rRNA from 1 species
CUAAGCAUAUAACUAAGCGGAGGAAAAGAAACUAACAAGGAUUCCCCUAGUAACGGCGAGUGAAGCGGGAAGAGCUCACGGUGAAAAUCGAGCCCUCGGGCCCGAAUUGUAGUCUGAAGAGGCGAGGCCUGCCACUGUCCGUGGCCAAGUCUGAUUGGAAAUGAGCAUCAUGGAGGGUGACAAUCCCGUUCAUGUCGCGGUAUCGAUCAGUGCGCAGAAGGCCCGUUUUCUACGAGUCGAGUUGCUUGGGAUUGCAGCUCAAAGCGGGUGGUAAACUCCAUCGAAAGCUAAAUAUGGGGGGGAGACCGAUAGCGAACAAGUACCGUGAGGGAAAGAUGCAAAGAACUUUGAAAAGAGAGUUAAAGAGUGCCUGAAAUUGCUGGAAGGGAAGCGAAGGAAAGAGGUGUGCGGUAGUCGGAGCGCCAACCCCCAUCUGCCUUCGUGGUGUGGGGGUAGGCCGCUUCGCCGCGGUCAGGGGUAGCGCUUGGGUCGCGUGAGGAUCCGUGCGGGAUCGGUAGCCCUCCCCUCUCGGGGAGGGUGUCAGGCCUGCACGGCACCGCGUCGCGGCUUCCCGGCCCCCUUUUCUGGCGGUUGCCGCUUUUCUUCACCCC